CAGCCGCCACGGGAACACGAAGGGGGCUAGCGUUGUUCGGAAUUACUGGGCGUAAAGCGCACGUAGGCGGCUUGGUAAGUUAGAGGUGAAAGCCCGGAGCUCAACUCCGGAAUUGCCUUUAAGACUGCCGAGCUAGUAGGUGAGAGAGGUAAGUGGAAUUCCGAGUGUAGAGGUGAAAUUCGUAGAUAUUCGGAAGAACACCAGUGGCGAAGGCGGCUCACUGGACGCGUAUUGACGCUGAGGUACGAAAGCGUGGGGAGCAAACAGGAUUAGAUACCCGCGUAGUCCCUGUCUCUUAUAC
rnacentral:rRNA from 1 species